UUGAAACUGGGACUCUAUGCGCUGUCCAUUUCGUGCAGUUUUGACGUGACACGGUGCCAUCUCUGACCAAGUCCAUUAAACUACAUGAGCUUGUCACAAACAUGCCAGUAUACAGUGCAAUUGCAAGUAAACAGCUAUUUGAAAUGGCUUCAAGUUUCGCCCCUGGCAGGGGCUUCAUGUGGGCUUGGGCUGAGGCAUGUGGCGGAUUGGGGGAUUUAAUCUUUGGAGCUUGCAAACAGCUGUCUGCGGUUCAGAAUCACAUAACUCGUGGAUUGUGGGUGUUGUUUCGUUGGGUGGCAGCUAUGUCUGCUGCCUAUAUAAGACGCAUAGCUCGUGUCACUCGCUCGGCUUAUCUUUUAUCGGGCCAAAUGUCUUUGUUGCCUUCACUUUUCGAGCUCUUGCCGGCGGCCAAAAUUGGUUGCAAAAACGUUUUAUACCUGGUCAAAAAAAAAAUAUAAAACAGAAACGAGCGCACGCCGAAGACUAAA